rnacentral:lncRNA from 1 species
CUCUGCGGCCCCGCCCCUCGAGGACGCAGCUGGGCCUGAGUACCGGUUGGGACGAAACUGCCAGAGCUGGCUGCGGAUUGGGCCACGUCACGGUUCGCGGCCGGGUUACUCCUCGCGGGACUUCUGCCAGCAUCGGUGCCGGACGCUUCGAUGCGGAACCCUAGCGGAACCCCGCGUGGGAGCAGGUGCUCUCGUGGAUUGCGAAGUCCUUGGCCUUCUUCCGGUUACCUGGGGCAUCCGCGCGACGGAAUCAUACUGAGCUGCAUUCGCUGCGGCGACGCGGAAGAGGCGCAUGCGUGUGCCCUGGACUUGGGCAAGAUAACAGGGGACCACUCCAACUUUAUGGGUUCAUUGAAAAACCUAAGCCACAAGAAUGAUGUUCGCUGAUGGGCCGGAGAUAAACCGUGUUUGUGACGGAUUGGCUUUAACUCUGAACCCCAAUAGUACGAGAGACGAUAUUGCAAACUAAAAAAUAAGACUUUAAUUGGCUUG